CUUAGGAGCCAAUGAUGUUUUUAUUCAAAAUGUCUGAACCUGGCUGAAGUAUCCCAGAGUUGCAACCUCUGUGUAGUGCCGAGGCUUUUCUGCCA
rnacentral:snoRNA from 1 species